CAGCAGCCACGGUAAUACGUAGGGUGCAAGCGUUAAUCGGAAUUACUGGGCGUAAAGCGUGCGCAGGCGGUUCGUUAAGACAGAUGUGAAAUCCCCGGGCUUAACCUGGGAACUGCAUUUGUGACUGGCGGGCUAGAGUAUGGCAGAGGGGGGUGGAAUUCCACGUGUAGCAGUGAAAUGCGUAGAGAUGUGGAGGAACACCGAUGGCGAAGGCAGCCCCCUGGGCCAAUACUGACGCUCAUGCACGAAAGCGUGGGGAGCAAACAGGAUUAGAUACCCGGGUAGUCCCUGUCUCUUAUAC
rnacentral:rRNA from 1 species